AGCAGCCGCGGUAAUUCCAGCUCCAAUAGCGUAUAUUAAAGUUGUUGCAGUUAAAAAGCUCGUAGUUGAAUUUCGGGAUCAAUAUGUUGGUCGUGCCUUUGGUACGUACUAGCUUAUUGAUUUCUCCCUUCUGACGAACCAUGAUGUCAUUAAUUUGGUGUCAUGGGGAAUCAGGACUGUUACUUUGAAAAAAUUAGAGUGUUUAAAGCAGGCUCACGCUUGAAUACAUUAGCAUGGAAUAAUGAAAUAGGACGUUUGAUUCUAUUUUGUUGGUUUCUAGGAUCGACGUAAUGAUUAAUAGGGAUAGUUGGGGGCAUUAGUAUUCAAUUGUCAGAGGUGAAAUUCUUGGAUUUAUUGAAGACUAACUACUGCGAAAGCAUUUGCCAAGGAUGUUUUCAUUAAUCAAGAACGAAAGUUAGGGGAUCGAAGACGAUCAGAUACCGUCGUAGUCUUAACCAUAAACUAUGCCGACUAGGGAUCGGAUGAUGUUAAUUUUUAAUGUACUCAUUC
rnacentral:rRNA from 1 species